CCCACUAAAAUGACCUAGCCCCUUUUGUAAAUACACAGGUUAUAAUCACUUUCCCCAUUCCGUUUAACCUAGCCGCAUCACUGCUCGCCAUCUUUUCCUUUCUUCCAUUACUCCUUAUUUCUUCCUCAUGGCAGCCAAUUACUGAACCUAAACCAAAACCUAAUCAUUUUCUGUUUUUUUUUUGUUUCUCGAGUUAUCCUAAUCCACUUCGUCUAGCUCAUAAUUUCAGAUUGGUUCUGUUUGGAAAUUCGUGAGGAAUCCUUUUAUGUCGACCGAACCUCGGUAGAUAUGGCGUUGAUUAAAGGGAUUUUUCGUGAAUUUAUCAAGGGAAACCAUUUCAGCUUUGUUUUGAAGCUAUUUUAGCAAACUGAACCUUCUUAGAUUCAGUUUGUUCAUGCACGAUGAAUGUUACAAUAUGCCUAGUUUAUGAUUCUAAACUCAAAAAUAAUUUUUAGUUGAACUAUCAUUCUGUAAUUACUAGUUUUGGUUUCUCAUGGGUUUCUGACUCCAUUUGAUUUCAUCUACAGGGUGUUGGAGCUCCUAUAAAGCUGGAGAAUGAGAGCAGAAGAACCUGAGCCUUUGCUCUCAAAGAACCUAGACCAGAAGAAUGGGCUUGGAGAUUGACACUCGAAGGUAAGUUUUAUAUCUCAACUAUUUCAAUUUUGUUCAUUGAUUAAUUAGGUUUUGUUGGGUUAUGACUGGAUUGUGGUUUUCUGUUUCAUCUAUCUGUCGAUUCAUUAUGAACCGAUGGCGGUAGACUCGCCGGAAUAACAGCAAGUUCAAUGCUUCCAUAAGCUCAUUGAAACCAAAGCAGAUGUAUCAGAAGCAUUCGGGCAAUGGAGGAAGGACCACAAGAAUGGACUCUAGGGGAUUCACAUUUUGAAGAUAAGUCUCAAUCUGAGUUGAUUUCUUUAUAAAUGAGAACAGGGAUUUUGUGAUUAGAAAUAGGCAUGUACCCAGAUUUUUCUAAAAAAAAAUAAAAUCUCAGCUGUUGGUUUUUCAUUUUAAAACAAUGUAAAUGAUUUUAUAAAUGUUGAAAACACUAGCUAAGAAAAUGGUAGAGAUACUUACUUGUUUAGGCUUGAACUCAGAUUAUUUCAUAUUUGCUUGUGAAUUCAGAAUUAAAAGAAAUAAACAGAAUAGGAAUGCAAAAACAAGAAAUGAGUUACUGCUAGAUUGAACCCCAAUCUAGAAGUAAGAAAAACAAAGAGAAGCCUUUUAGAUUGAACACCAAGCUAGCUAAAAGGUGAAAGAGAUUUGUAUGGGCAGAUUGCUCUGUAUAUUCCCUGCUCCCUUGCAAUGGCUGUGAGGCCUUUCUUUUAUAGGCUUGAGCAGUGGCAAUUUUGUAAAUAUGAUAAAUUAGAUUAAUUAUGCCUAAUAUUGCUUAAUUAGAUACAUGUUUGGAUUAAUGGCCUUAAACUGUUUUUGGCAGGUCUUAAUGUUGAUCGAGCUACAGUGUUUCUACUAUUCAUAAACACUGUAGCAAAUAGUGCCACUACAUGACAAAAUUGGCUAAUUUACAGUUUGGUGCCUGAACUUCUCACGAUGUGCCAGAUUGGUCCCUGACGUUUUUAUUUUUACAAUUUUGUCUCUGUAAUUUAUUUUCAUACCACUUUUGUAAUUUUUAUAUUUUUUUGUGUGUUAAUAAUAAAUAUUCAUUUUUUUUUA